CGUGAACUGGGCAAGUUAUAGUGGCACGGAUUAGGGACAUGGCGCAAUCCACACCAUCCCUAAGAAACACGCAUUGUGUGGUCUAGAAUCGUCCACAUGAGGCCUUGAACCCGCGGAGGAGAGAGCGCCACGUGUUGCGCUCUGACUUGUUUUGAAAGUCAUCAUACAAAAACCAAAAAUUUCCAUUCUCGUCCAUUUUGUUCUUUCAUUUUUCUUCCCCUCUGAAACUUCCAUGUUCCUCUCCAUCGCUCUGCUCUUUGCAUCCUGCCGCCGAACGAGCCUCCCAUCAUUACAUGUCCGCUUGAUCACUCCGUUUUGGUUGCAGAUCUUCUGUUGGUCGUCAUCCUCGCGCUACACCUCCGGCCACCACCGUCUUGGAAUCUCACGACAUACACGGCGAUCCGAGCCCUCGAUCACUCUCUGCCUCUCCCUAUGACCAUCCUGGCUAUUCUACGAGCUUAAGCCCCAAGAUCCUGCCUUCAGAUUUUCCUCGUUCUUCAACAACUGAUAAUCACCAUGACCGCCGUCAAGCUUAAACGCUGUAACUCCACGCCCUCGCUCUCGCCGUUUCUCUCCAUGCGCCGGUGUUCCUUUCGUUGGCCUCAAGAUCAGCUCCCAGCGCGUCACCAUAGCCGUCGUGCCCGCCUUGGUUCUCACGGUGAUGUGUCGAUCGCUACACGCGGAACCGAUGCCGCGACUUCAACCGCCGCCCCGGAAUCGACCGCUGCAUUUCUCCGUGGCCGAAGCUUUUCACCUUGUUCUUUUCUAGUCCACGCAUUUUCGCUUCUCCGAUUUUACCAGAGCAUACGGCGAGGAUGGGAAUGCUGUGUAGUGGCAGCGACGGUGAUGGCGGUGGAGUAGGGAGCGGAGAAGGAGUGGUUAGGGGGAGACAGGAGAUCUAUUCUGUGCUUCGACGACUACCCAGAUGAGUUUCCUUGCUCUUUUUUAUAUUUUUGGUGUUUUCUUUUUGUGAUUUCUGCAGACUGAGGUGGGUGAGUGAGGGUGUGUGUGUGGGUGAAUGUUGUGAGAUCGGUGAGUGGGUGAGGCUGUGUGUGGAGGUGAGUGCUUGUGAAAUUGGCUUGAUUGAAUCUAAGGAUCGGAUGAUGUAAGUGUUCUGUGUGUGAACCUGCUGAAGUUAGGGCUUCGGGGGUUUGGGGGGCGAGGUGGGAGACGGGUGAACCCGUCUCAACUCAAUGAGUUGGAUCUGAGUCAGGUUUCGAACGUUCAGUGGGCUACGUGGUGAUUUUGGUUUUCAAAGUGAGAGUGGGCCUCAUUUUACAAUGGUAGUGGGCGGGCCUGUGCUUGUUGAAAAUGAACCUGGCCUCGUUUUAAAACGUGAGUGGGCUGGGGUUGUUUAAAAUGGGAGUUGGGUUGGUUUUUUUUUUUAAAUGGGUUGUGUGGAUGGAGUGGGUGGCUUUGGGUUAAGAAUUGAAAAUGGGGGCUCGGGGAAGUGCCUUGGAAUGGGUUAACUACUCGAACCUGAACUUAGAUUCGGGUAUGGGGGUGAUUCAAACAUGGGGGGUUCAAUUUGGGUUAGAUCGGGAACUCGGGUAUGAAAGUGUAAACAAAUCAAGAUUCGGAGGAUCCGAAUUCGAGCUCGAGUUUGGGUCGGCAUCGGAGUUAGAAUCCAUGUUCGGGUGAGAACCUGAAACUCCCAAAGAAUGAUACCUGCAUCUAUUGCUCACAUAUAGUCACUUAUGUAUUGAGACAAGUUCAGAAAGUGGAUUUAGGAAUUUACCCUCCCUUGUUCUCCUCCGGUCUUCUUUUCCUGUCUGUGCGUGUUCGAUUGGUCUGGUAGUCUGAAUCUGAAUGAGCUUCCGAGCUCUACCUUUUGCUUUCUCUUAUAAACUGGUAGAACCUUCGCCACUGCUCUCUGUUUCCAGACAGUCCUCUCUCUAAAUCAAUCUUUUUUGGAGCAGCACCUCCCCUCUUUUCUUUCUCUCAAUUCUCAUGAAAUGUUUCUGUGCUCUCCCUUUUUUAGAAAAAUAGGCAGAACCUCCCCUCUUUUCUAACUUCCAUCUCUUUCUCUCUCUCUCCCAAUUCUUGCAGGGUUUCCUUCUAUCUCUCCCCCAUCUCUUCUACAGUGCGAACCUCCCUAUUUAUAGGGAGGCCGUGGGUGUGUUUUGGCGCCAAUUCUCUCUGCCAACUGAUUUCCCCAAUAACAAACUGUGUCAGGGAAUAAUUUUCUGGCACGCGUGACUGAUUUCCUUUUUGAUUCCCGGCUAACAAAUUCCUCCCCUUCUGUGCAGGUGACUUUUGAUGGUCUACGUGGCGAACGGGAAAUGGAGGGCAUUUUGAGUGUCUCCUGGUGGCAGUGUAGGAGAGGACGCGGAAUAUAUUUUUUGUGUUUUCUUUUUUUCGUAGUUUCCCUCUUAUUUUUACUUUUGUAACCUCAGUAUGUACCCCCGAGAAUUCUCUCCCUCAACAUUUAACUUGUAUAUUUUAUUAACUUAGUAUAUUUUACCCGGGAUUCACACAUGCACACACUCCUUGUGGCAUUUUUCAUCUUUUGACUUUGAUCCAUUUAGUUGACCCAAUUUGCCCAAGAAACACCUAACAAUAAAGUAUGAUUUUAAAAUCCAAUCAACAGACUCGGUUUUGACAACUAAAAUUUUGAAGAACUCAAUUAAAACCUGACUUGAAUUUUGAAGGGCUCACCUCAAUAUUUUAGGACUCAAACUCAAAUUAAGGAACACGAUCCCCAUUUUGAAAUUUGACAAAAAGGUUUUGAAUUUUGGAAAUUACACUUGCAAGGAACUCAAACUGAAUAACAAAAUCAAAUACAACAAUUAGAACUCGAAAGAAUUAGGAGACCCUAUUCAUGAUUUAGAACCCUCAAUUUGACUCGGGGGAUCGUCAUUCAAAUUUAAGAAUGAACGUUGAAUACAUGAGAAGAUCAAUUUAAAAUCAUGGUAGAAAAUGACUUUCAAAAUUUCAAAAGCUCUCUCGAGAUAAAUGGGAUAUCAUAAUAGGGCUCUAGUUACGAACAAGGAUCGAGGGCUCAAUUAGGCUUAAAAUAAAUUUUAUUACACUAGGUCUUUUCAGAAAGGUCUCGUAAAAAUUAAGGUGUCUACAAUAGUUAUCACAUCUUAUUGAGUGUUGUUUACACAAAGAUACAUAUCACUAAGCUUACAUUUAGUGAUAUAGUUUAUGUGCAUUUAAUUGAUUACAUUUGGUAAAUAUUUGCUUGAUUGAGAAGUAUAAUCACUGUACCUUGUUAUAUUGUGAAAAAUACUGUUGUAUUCCAAGCGUGACUUGAGGGGGUGGUGAUCCAGUCUGGUCAGGAUUGGUUGUAAAAGUUGAGGUUAGUCUUGUGUUAAUUGACUUGAUUGUAAAUGUUGAGGUUAGUCAUGUGCUAAUUGACCUAAUUAUUUAGGUGUCGUUCCACCUGUUAAGUGAGCUUAUAGUGAUAAUUCUUGUGCUUGUUAGCCAAGUUAUGGACAUAGGCAGUUUGCCGAACCUCAAUAACAUUUCUGGAUGUCAUCUCUAUUUACCGCUUUGUUGUACAUGUUUAGUUAAAUUAUUUGUGCAGUUUAAUUUUCGCUAUAUAUUUAAAUUCAUUUACUUAUCUGCACUAGAUUGACCAUAGAGUUGUGUAAUAUUGCUGUUAGUUAUUUGACCCAGGGAAUAAAUUUUUAGAAUACCAAUUCACCCCCCUUUUUGGGAUUAUACCAACACUAACAAUUAGUAUCACAGCCUCGUUGUACUAGACUUAACAGCUUUUGUAAAAGAUUGUAAGGCCUCAAAUUGGUGUAUCCCAAUUGUGUGGGAGUAGAUUUUUUGCAAGCCCCCGCAAUGUUUUCUGGUGAAAAUUUUUCUGAUUGGAAAUUUAGAAUGACUAUCUUUAUAAAAUCAUUGAGUUGGAGGACUUGGAGAGUUAUUUCUUAAGGGGAUAUCUUGCUUAUGAAAACUGUCAAUAAUGUUGAUAUUCCUAAAUUUGAAAUUGAGAUGAAUGAGAAUGACAUGAAUUGUUUACAAAUAAAUUUUGACACCAUGAAUAUUCUAUUUUAUGCCCUAGAUGCUCAUAUCUUUCGUAAAGUAAGGGCAUGUAAAAACGCUAAAGAGAUAUGGGAGGAACUCGAAAAGAAACACGGAGUCACUAAGUAAGAAAAGGUGAUCACUUCUUGUGACUCAAGCUCUACAGAUCUUGAAGGAGGUAAACCGUGCUUCACAGCUUUCACCGACAAUGAGGUUGUGCAGCCUGAAGACGAGACCCGACAAUGGCUGGCCGACCACUGCCGAAUCAGAUAUGUUUGUAAGUACGAUGGGCCCGCCACACCCUGGUCCGAACUGUCAGGUGGACGUCCACACUCUACUGAAAGCCAUAUCGAUUAUCCAUCUCCCAUCCCCUCGUGGAAUGGUUAGCACUAAUAUGGCCUCGUGCCAAAAUCUGAACUACCCAUAGCUACGCCUGAAGGCGGGAUCCGACAAUGGCUGACUGACCACUGCCGAAUCAAAUAUGUCUGUAAGUACGAUGGGCCCACUACACCCUGGUCCGGACUGCAAGGUGGAUGUCCACACUCUACUGAAAGCCACAUCGACUAUCCAUCUCUCAUCCCUUUAUGGAAUUGUUAGCACUAAUAUGGCCUCGUGCCAAAAUCUGAACGACCCAUAGCUACGGUACUGAGCUCCUGGUCUGAACUAAACUAACAUCCUAGUUGUAAUAACAUAUAGUACAUGAUCAUACAUAACAUCAUCACGGCCUC